GACGAACGCUGGCGGCGUGCCUAAUACAUGCAAGUAGAACGCAGUUGCGAACGGGUGAGUAAAGCGUAGGUAACUGCCUCAUAGCGGGGGAUAACUAUUGGAAACGAUAGCUAAUACCGCAUACUGUGAGCUGGACCUGCGUUGUGUUAGCUAGUUGGUGAGGUAAAGGCUCACCAAGGCGACGGUACAUAGCCGACCUGAGAGGGGGGUCGGCCCAACUGGGACUGAGACCCGGCCCCGACUCCUUCGGGAGGGAGCCGUAGGGAAUUUUCGGCAAUGGACGGAAGUCUUGCCGAGCAACGCCGCGUUGGUUAAGAAAGUUUUCCGGUUGUAAAGCUCUGUUGGUAAGGGAGCGGUAACUAACCAGAAAGGGACGGCUAACUACGUGCCAGCAGCCGCGGUAAUAC
rnacentral:rRNA from 1 species